GGUUCAAUAGUGUAGUCGGUUUAUCACGUCUGUCUCACAGCAUUUGGGUCACAGGAGGUCCCCGGUUCGAGCCCGGGUUGAACCA